GACGAACGCUGGCGGCGUGCUUAACACAUGCAAGUCGAACGCUGAAGCUCAGCUUUUGUUGGGUGGAUGAGUGGCGAACGGGUGAGUAACACGUGAGUAACCUGCCCCCUUCUUCGGGAUAACGCCCGGAAACGGGUGCUAAUACUGGAUAUUCACUGGUCUUCGCAUGGGGGUUGGUGGAAAGGGUUUUUCUGGUGGGGGAUGGGCUCGCGGCCUAUCAGCUUGUUGGUGGGGUGAUGGCCUACCAAGGCUUUGACGGGUAGCCGGCCUGAGAGGGUGACCGGUCACAUUGGGACUGAGAUACGGCCCAGACUCCUACGGGAGGCAGCAGUGGGGAAUAUUGCACAAUGGGCGCAAGCCUGAUGCAGCGACGCCGCGUGAGGGAUGGAGGCCUUCGGGUUGUGAACCUCUUUCGCUCAUGGUCAAGCCGCAACAAUGGUUGUGGUGAGGGUAGUGGGUAAAGAAGCGCCGGCUAACUACGUG
rnacentral:rRNA from 1 species